AUUGAACGCUGGCGGCAUGCCUUACACAUGCAAGUCGAACGGCAGCACGGGAGCUUGCUCCUGGUGGCGAGUGGCGAACGGGUGAGUAAUGCAUCGGAACGUACCCGGAAGUGGGGGAUAACGUAGCGAAAGUUACGCUAAUACCGCAUAUUCUGUGAGCAGGAAAGAGGGGGAUCGCAAGACCUCUCGCUUUCGGAGCGGCCGAUGUCGGAUUAGCUAGUUGGUGGGGUAAAGGCCUACCAAGGCGACGAUCCGUAGCGGGUCUGAGAGGAUGAUCCGCCACACUGGGACUGAGACACGGCCCAGACUCCUACGGGAGGCAGCAGUGGGGAAUUUUGGACAAUGGGCGCAAGCCUGAUCCAGCCAUGCCGCGUGAGUGAAGAAGGCCUUCGGGUUGUAAAGCUCUUUCGGCCGGGAAGAAAUCGUAUCAGCUAAUACCUGGUGCGGAUGACGGUACCGGCAUAAGAAGCACCGGCUAACUACGUGCCAGCCGCCGCCGUAA
rnacentral:rRNA from 1 species